rnacentral:sRNA from 1 species
AAUAAAGACAUGGAGGUGCUUGAAUUUGCUUGUGGGUUUCGUGUUAUAAUUAUGACAA